rnacentral:lncRNA from 1 species
CCAUAUUAAAAGACUUCACGCCUGCUUGCAUUUGCGGAAUGAGAGAACAUACUCAGUUUUCCUAACUUGCUUCCUCUUUCUUUGUAAGAAAUACUGAAAUUUAUCAUCUCAGGAAUCAUGAGAAUUCAGCAUCUCAGAGUCGUAUGUGUGGUCUUCAUGAUCAUGCUUAUGAUCAGUCAGAUAUCAAGUUAUCGUCACAUCCACAGAGUGACAGCUAAAGAAUCCAAGCAAACAGAUAAAUCUGAAUCCUAUUCCAGGUUUUCAUGGCAUUUCUCCACAGAAGCUCCAGAGGUAUCCAGCAGCAGAGAUGAGAUCAGCCCCCUCAAAGGCGUUUCUCUACGAGAAGUUCCAAGUGGACCAAACCCUCUUCACAACUGAUCAGCCCUCUUGCAAUUAAGUGUGUUAUUCAGUCAGACAAAUACUUUUAUCAGUUUCUAGUGUAAAUCAAUUUUUUUUUUUUUUUUGGUACUCAUAGUCUCAUAGACCAGUUGGGAAAGAAUGUGAGCAACACUAGUC